rnacentral:lncRNA from 1 species
CCUCUCUCUUAUAAUAACUCCCCAACAACACACACGCAUACAAGACCUCCCCCAUAUGAACUUCUCUCACUCCCUCUUCCCAACUCUCUCUAACCCUUUUAUACUAACUCUCUCACUAGUUUAAAGCAUCGAAUCCUACUCACUAUACCAAAAUCGUAUCGGACUUAGCCCAGAUCUUUGUUAUUUAAUCUCGACUCAUCUCAGUCAUUACAAAAUCUCAAAACUUCUACUAUAUUCAUAUUUCAGCUCCCGUGAUCUAUAUCGUCUCAAAAACCCUCUAGACUCAAGCAAAAAGACAAGAAUCGAGCAUCUCUAGUUCAAUACUCUAACGGUAAAGGGAACGAUCCCCUUCGCACCAACAAACUCUGAUCCAGUCCGCCAACUUAGGGUCCUAAGCUUGUGAGCAUGGUUUCGCCCCAGAUAAGUCUAUGAUUCUUACCAUUAUUAUUUCUAUAUUUUAUUUUUUUAUUUUUUCCACUCUAUUUCUCAAAUAUUUUUCAAAAUCUCCCAUUUUUCCUUAGUUUUCUAGUUUUCUGUUUAUUUUGGUGUGUAGGGGAUUUUUAGGCGGCAUGGCCCACAAACCAUAAAAGAAGCGACCAUAUAGUCAUUUUUCUUUCGUGGUCCAUAAUUUGAAGGAACUCCAUUUUCUACCUCUGAAUCGUAAAGUUUAAAUGAAAAAUCAGGCAGAAAUAUUAUUUUUGCUGAAAUUUCGUGUAUAACAGUUUAGUGCCCAAUGUGGAGCCCGUCAAGCUAACUUUUGCCUAAAAACCGAAAAAAAAUAUACCCAAAUCUUUUUUUUUUUGGUGGGGGAGGGAGGGGGGGGGGCUUGCUUUGGAAAAUCAAUAGUAAAAAAAAAGAAAAAAAGAUAUGGCCCCAAAUAGCAAUCUUUGGGGCAUUUUCUUUAUGUGUUUAUUUGUUUCUUGAUAAAGGGGGGACUCCCCGGGAAAUUUCCAGGUAGAAGGGUGGUCGACCAUGAGACAUCCUUUGUCUGAGACGUUUCCGUGAUCUCCUCCCUGCCCCCCUUUCCCACUUCUUAUUCUUGUUGCUAUUUUACAAAGAAAGAAAAAAAUCGUUUUGGAAGGAGGUGUUCUUGCUUAGUUUCUCGUGCUCAUAUAUUAAAGAUCUCUCAGCCUCUCCUUCCCACUUGUUCUUGUUACUAUUUAAAACAAAAUAAAAAAUAAAAAAUCAUUUUGGGGGGAGGUAUUUUUGCUUUGUGUCCGUCCUGCUCAUAGAUUAGCAUUUCUUAUUUGUUCAUUGCUAUCGUAUUUGGCACUUUAAUAACUCUCUUUGCCUCCAUGAAGUUAGGUGCUACUUGCUUGUUACAAACGACAAAAAACAAGAAAAAAGGAGGGGCUUACUGAUAAUUUCUUGUACUCCCAUUACUCUUGCCUAGAUCUUUUCCUUAUCUUGCUGCAAGGAUGAAUAAGAUCCUUUGAGAAAUGAUUGCUCUAUUUUGCUUUUUUCUGUAAUCUUAGGUCUUGCAUCU